CGAAGGAUCCGAAGCGUUGUCCGGAUUUACUGGGUUUAAAGGGAGCGUAGGCGGACUUUUAAGUCAGUGGUGAAAGCUUGCAGCUUAACUGUAAAUUGCCAUUGAAACUGAGAGUCUCGAGUAUGGUUGAGGUAACUGGAAUAUAUCAUGUAGCGGUGAAAUGCUUAGAUAUGAUAUAGAACACCAAUUGCGAAGGCAGGUUACUAAACCAUAACUGACGCUGAGGCUCGAAAGCGUGGGGAUCAAACAGGAUUAGAUACCCUGGUAGUCCACGCCCUAAACGUUGAAUACUCGAUCUUAGCGAUAUACAGUUAGGAUCCAAGCGAAAGCGUUAAGUAUUCCACCUGGGAAGUACGAUCGCAAGAUUG
rnacentral:rRNA from 1 species